CCUACGGGAGGCAGCAGUUAGGAAUUUUCCACAAUGGGCGAAAGCCUGAUGGAGCAACGCCGCGUGCAGGACGAAGGCCUUCGGGUUGUAAACUGCUUUUAUACGUGAAUCGGUAGCGUAUGAAUAAGGAUCGGCUAACUCCGUGCCAGCAGCCGCGGUCAUACGGAGGAUCCAAGCGUUAUCCGGAUUUACUGGGCGUAAAGAGUGCGUAGGUGGUAAUUUAAGCGAAUAGUGAAAUCUUGUGGCUCAACCAUAAGGCUAUUAUUCGAACUGAAUUACUCGAGAACGAGAGAGGUCACUGGAAUUCCUUGUGUAGGAGUGAAAUCCGUAGAUAUAAGGAGGAACACCAAUGGCGUAGGCAGGUGACUGGCUCGUCUGACACUGAGGCACGAAAGCGUGGGGAGCGAACGGGAUUAGAUACCCUUGUAGUC
rnacentral:rRNA from 1 species